UUCUGGAGUACUUUUACUUGGAACGAAGUUGUUUUAAGAAGUAACGUUUUACUUCGUUAUUUUCAUUUUGUAGCGAAGUAUUUCGUUACUUUCUAACUUUUGUUUCAUUUUUCUGAUUUAUAUUUAUUAAUUUCGGGAAAGGUAAAACGACCUCUACAUGCGUCUGGGAUCUGUCAUUUGUGACUUAUACUUAUAAGCAUUAUUUACUUAAUGGAUUUCUUAUAUCUUGAAAGUCUGGAAAGUAGACCAUGCGGUGAAAUAUUG